GGCUGCGGGCGGGCUGGCUGCGCGCGGGGGGCGGGGCGGCGCGCUGCCAUGGCGACGGCGCAGGGGCGGUGGGCGCGACGGCCGGGUCCAGGUAGGCUCGCGAGGGAAGCCGGCAGGGAGAGGGCCCGAGGGGGCGUCCGCUUGCUACCCGGUGCUGUAGCGCCUCCGGUGUCCCACGGCUCUCGCGUCUUGGCUACCCCCAAGCGCCUAGACCCUCCGGGCCGCUGAGACGAAGUUAAAGAAAACCGAAGACGUCUGCUGUCCGGGGCGAGCGUUCUCCGACAGAGCGACGGCUCACCUCCCGAGAAACCUUUUCGCGCUCGUCGCCGCCACAGAAGCUCAUUUGGAAGAAAACUGAAACAAGACGGAGACAGGUGGCAGCCCAGAGCUGUGAGGAGCUCGUGUGUGCCAACCCUCCAUCAGGCCCAACAACAUCUGAACUAGAAGGGGCCUCAGAGAUGACAGUGUUACUUCCAGAAAGGGACUCAGUCAAGUGACUCUCCAGUUGGCUGGCUGGCAGGCCUGGCACAAGAACUCUGCCUCCCAGGAAAGCUGCUUCCGUUCUCAGGCCACAGUGCUGCAAGGUGGCCUUAUGGUACUAGCAUGGGCACCUGGGUGCGUUUUCUUUCUUUGCUGGUUAGGAGGAAUUACGGCUCCUGCCACCUCCUCCCCCUGGGCGUAUACUGCCCUAGAGGCGAGGAAUUGACAACACUGGGCAAGUUCAACUUAGUCCUGUGUGGACUGAACACAUCAGUUGUCACCAUCAGACUAUCAAUACUGUUCAAAGUGGGUUUUUUUUUGUAUUCAUCCACUUAGGGUGGAUGAAAAUGUCAAGAAUUGGUUAAAAUUUCAUUCUCUGAAAACUAGUAUGUUACAUGAGGAGGAGAGACAGGUUAUGGGCACAGGCCCUGAAGAUACACUGCUCAUUCCAGCCUUCCCACCAGUCACCUAGACAUGCCCAGCCUCUCAUUAGCACAUGCCCAGCACACAGUAGGUGCUCAGAAAGCAUCAGCAUUACAAAGGGCAAAAAGGACCAUUAGUAAGCUCCAGAUUUCAGGCACAUGCUGCUUGUACAUCCUCAUAGUUGGGCGGAUGCCACAGUGAACGUUUCAGAUCAAGAGGCCUUUGGGAACAAUGGCAAAGAAAUGAAUGUCCCGAAGCACCCAGAAAGAAACGUUGAAGGAGCCCACCUCACAAUACUCCCCGAGCUUGGGGAAAGGAAAAUAGCAACCCUGUCACUACCACACAAGCAGACCUGGAGGGGAUGCCUCCCACUCUGUGGUGAGGUCCUGGAGAAUCAGGAAAAAGGAAGAGCAUCCUUUGAAUGCCAGGAGAGGAAACUUCCCUUCGGCUCAAUCUUUUGAUCACCAGGAAGAACUUGCUCCCCGUAUAUAAGCCGUUUGCUGUCCACACACUUAACCACUAAACAGGUAAGAAACAAAAAAAUCUCUCCAUAUGCAGUAUGUACAACUGAAUGAAGCUGCCAGUCAAGGCCUUUUACUACAAGUUCAUUUGCUGCAAAUUGUACAAUGUAAGGGGUAAAGGAGUACAACAAAAAACACCAGCAUCAAACAAACAAAACAGCAGCUUUACACAUUUCCUCAACUCUAAAUCUGUAUUACACAAGCAAAU